GCCAUGAUGACACUAUUUUGAUGAUCUGUUUGAAUUGAUUGUCCUCUAAGAAGUUCUGAGCCU
ensembl:snoRNA small nucleolar RNA SNORD61